GAUGAAGAACGUAGCGAAAUGCGAUAAGUAAUGUGAAUUGCAGAAUUCAGUGAAUCAUCGAAUAUUUGAACGCACAUUGCGCCCGCUAGUAUUCUGGCGGGCAUGCCUGUCCGAGCGUCAUUUCAACCCUCAAGCCCCCGGGCUUGGUGUUGGGGAUCGGCGAGCCUCCGCGCCCGCCGUCCCCUAAAUCUAGUGGCGGUCUCGCUGUAGCUUCCUCUGCGUAGUAGCACACCUUGCACUGGGAAACAGCGCGGCCACGCCGUUAAACCCCCAACUUCUGAACGUUUGACCUCGGAUCAGGUAGGAAUACCCGCUGAACUUAAGCAUAUCAAUAAGCGGAGGA
rnacentral:misc_RNA from 1 species